rnacentral:tRNA from 1 species
GGGUAUAGUUCAAGGGUAGAGCAACGGUCUCCAAAACCGUAAAUGAGGGUUCGAAUCCUUCUACCC